ACAUCAGUUUCUGUUCUCAGGGGAUCCAGUUCCGGUUGUGCCUCAUCUCAAUACCCAGAUGGCACCCGUAUUGCUUCCUCUGAGAAUCGACUGCGUACC
rnacentral:miRNA from 18 species